GAUGAACGCUGGCGGCGUGCCUAAUACAUGCAAGUCGAGCGAAUGGAUUAAGAGCUUGCUCUUAUAAAGUUAGCGGCGGACGGGUGAGUAACACGUGGGUAACCUGCCCAUAAGACUGGGAUAACUCCGGGAAACCGGGGCGAAUACCGGAUAACAGUUUGAACCGCAUGGUUCGAAAUUGAAAGGCGGCUUCGGCUGGCACUUAUGGAGGGACCCGCGUCGCAUUAGCUAGUUGGUGAGGUAACGGCGCACCAAGGCAACGAUGCGUAGCCGACCUGAGAGGGUGAUCGGCCACACUGGGACUGAGACACGGCCCAGACUCCUACGGGAGGCAGCAGUAGGGAAUCUUCCGCAAUGGACGAAAGUCUGACGGAGCAACGCCGCGUGAGUGAUGAAGGCUUUCGGGUCGUAAAACUCUGUUGUUAGGGAAGAACAAGUGCUAGUUGAAUAAGCUGGCACCUUGACGGUACCUAACCAGAAAGCCACGGCUAACUACGUGCCAGCCGCCGCCGUAA
rnacentral:rRNA from 1 species